UUCUGACUUGGUUGAUUUGAUGCUUCAGAUGAGAUUCAAGGAAUGUGCUAAGCGACAAAAGCUUGCAUCCCUAGUGUCAACUAAGAGCUCCACCUCCUCAAGUAAGGAUGAACCUAUGGUAGAUCCAGUGAAGUUAGGAGAAACCUCAACUCAUUCUCUUCCACCUGUGACUACACCUAUUGGAGCCACUACUGACUACUUCACUUCAGUUGACGCUGAGAAUGUCUAUUGCACUACCUUUUCUAAAGGCCAGUGUUGGGUGAGAGGGAGACGAAUAAGGGGGACCAGCAGCACUAGAGGGGGAGAACAACUACAGCAGAAGAAAACUAUCCUGUUAUAUUUUCUUAUUACUCUUUCAUGUUUUUGUUUGGUUUAAUUUAGAUACAAUUUGAUAUGUCCUUAUGUUUUGCUUUAAUUGGGAUGAAAGACUAAUAUGCUGGUUAUGUUCAUUCAGUUGGUUAGGAUUCACUUAACUAGUACUUGAAACUGGAUUGUUUUCUUUAUCUCUAAGUCAGUUUAUUGAAUCA